UACGGAGGGGGCUAGCGUUGUUCGGAAUUACUGGGCGUAAAGCGCGCGUAGGCGGCCCUGCAAGUCGGGGGUGAAAGCCCGAGGCUCAACCUCGGAACUGCCUUCGAUACUGCGGGUCUCGAGUCCGGGAGAGGGGAGUGGAAUUCCUAGUGUAGAGGUGAAAUUCGUAGAUAUUCGCAAGAACACCAGUGGCGAAGGCGGCUCACUGGCCCGGUACUGACGCUGAGGUGCGAAAGCGUGGGGAGCAAACAGG
rnacentral:rRNA from 1 species